rnacentral:rRNA from 1 species
AUUGAACGCUGGCGGCAUGCCUAACACAUGCAAGUCGAACGGUAACGCAAGAAGCUUGCUUCUUGGCGACGAGUGGCGGACGGGUGAGUAAUGCUUGGGAAUCUGCCCAGUAGUGGGGGACAACUCGAGGAAACUCGAGCUAAUACCGCAUACGCCCUACGGGGGAAAGCGGGGGCUCUUCGGACCUCGCGCUAUUGGAUGAGCCCAAGUCGGAUUAGCUUGUUGGUGGGGUAACUGCCUACCAAGGCGACGAUCCGUAGCUGGUCUGAGAGGACGAUCAGCCACACUGGGACUGAGACACGGCCCAGACUCCUACGGGAGGCAGCAGUGGGGAAUAUUGGACAAUGGGCGCAAGCCUGAUCCAGCAAUGCCGCGUGUGUGAAGAAGGCCUGCGGGUUGUAAAGCACUUUCAGUAGAGAAGAAAAGCCUAGGGUUAAUACCCCUGAGUCUUGACGUAACCUACAGAAGAAGCACCGGCUAACUCCGUG